rnacentral:misc_RNA from 1 species
AAAGUGCGACAAGUGUCAUGACUUGCAGUUCCCGAGAGCUGACAAAUUUCUGAAUGCAAAUUGCGGCCAAAUUAAACUGGCCAUGUAUUGCAGAGUGUACCACGCUUAUGCACAUCAUCCCAUAAACUAUCACUUUAUGGGGACCUGCGAUUGCGUGAAUUCUAUUACAAUGCCGCAAUCGUCAAGCAUAGGAAACCCGACGGGUUUGCCUUGGAGCACAAGAGUGCAGCAGAAUACCAUCCGUGAUCUUGUAUUCUCAGCAUACCUCUGCAAUGCAGGAGAACCCGCUGAACUUAA